AUGAUUGUACUUCUAGGGAUCACUCCUACAGUACGCAUCACCAGGACGUCAGUCAAACCUGAUCCUGGAUACCCAACCGUGUUGAGGAAGCGUGUCGCGCGUCCGUCAGCGUGAUAAGGCUCAUGGCUGUUAGCGCUAAUACCGAGCUGACCUGGCCGUUUGCCUAGUCGAUCGCAUUGUCGGAGAGUGGGUUGUGACUCUGCGCU
rfam:Hymenolepis nana genome assembly, scaffold: HNAJ_contig0005330